GACGAACGCUGGCGGCGUGCUUAACACAUGCAAGUCGAACGGAAAGGCCCUGCUUUUGUGGGGUGCUCGAGUGGCGAACGAGUGAGUAACACGUGAGUAACCUGCCCUUGACUUUGGGAUAACUUCAGGAAACUGGGGCUAAUACCGGAUAGGAGCUCCUGCUGCAUGGUGGGGGUUGGAAAGUUUCGGCGGUUGGGGAUGGACUCGCGGCUUAUCAGCUUGUUGGUGGGGUAGUGGCUUACCAAGGCUUUGACGGGUAGCCGGCCUGAGAGGGUGACCGGCCACAUUGGGACUGAGAUACGGCCCAGACUCCUACGGGAGGCAGCAGUGGGGAAUAUUGCACAAUGGGCAGAAGCCUGAUGCAGCAACGCCGCGUGCGGGAUGACGGCCUUCGGGUUGUAAACCGCUUUCGCCUGUGACGAAGCGUGAGUGACGGUAAUGGGUAAAGAAGCACCGGCUAACUACGUGCCAGCCGCCGCCGUAAUAC
rnacentral:rRNA from 1 species